rnacentral:lncRNA from 1 species
CCCACGUACAUGCGGUCGUGGUCCUCGUCCUUCAGCAGGAUGCGGUAGUCACUGGAGUUGAGCAGGAAGUUGAAGAAGUGCGCGGUGCCGGUGGCCUUCAGCUCUUUGAAGGAGAGCUGCACCCUGGGGGUAGGAGGCACGCCGUCCUUGCCGUGGGCUGCCCGCCAGCCCAGGGUCAGCAGGGUGGCCCAGAGCAGGACGGUGGCCACGGGCAUGGUGGGGGCACGCUGGGGGCAGUCCGGGAGGAGCACGCCUCUGCGGGGGCUCAGCGCCGCGCCGGGCACCCGCGGCCCCCCGCCAUGUCGCG